CACAAAUUGUUCUUUAAGUAAUGGAUAUAAUUUACUCAUUGCAAUAUACUUUCACUAGCUGAUUUUCUUCUAUUCAUGUACGAACAUAUUGAGUUAAGGCUUUAUACAAUAUGAGCUUCUUCUACUAAAAGUAACCUACAUUCCAUUGAUCAACUAUCCCCUGCAUAAUAGGAAUUUGUUCCAUCUUUUUGUUCACUGUAAAGAGUGUGAAAAGAGGAAGCUUGGUAGCUUUAGAGUGUCUGACCAGGCUUAAAGUUCAUUCCUUGAAUUAUUUUUCUUUAUGUUUAAAUGCUUUUUUGCAGGUGAAGGUGUGCGAUUGUGUUCUAAUGCUAAGAUUUAAGAUUUCUCCUGAAAGCAACAUUACCGUACCUGAUUCACAAAAUUCCUAGGCCCAAAAGCAGUGGUUUUGGGGAAUUUUUCAUAAAGCACCAUCUUUUUGGUCUAAUUAGCCAUUUAUAGAUACCUUUUGCUAUAUUACGUGUUAUAGAUACCUUUUAUGUUUUUAUACAAUAUAUUUCAUGUAUUUAAGCUGUUGUAUUCAUUAAUAUAACAAAAAAUAUAGGCGUAAAAUCUUGAAUUCCAA